rnacentral:rRNA from 1 species
UACACUCCUACGGGAGGCAGCAGUGGGGAAUAUUGGACAAUGGGCGCAAGCCUGAUCCAGCCAUGCCGCGUGAGUGAUGAAGGCCCUAGGGUUGUAAAGCUCUUUCACCGGUGAAGAUAAUGACGGUAACCGGAGAAGAAGCCCCGGCUAACUUCGUGCCAGCAGCCGAGGUAAUACGAAGGGGGCUAGCGUUGUUCGGAUUUACUGGGCGUAAAGCGCACGUAGGCGGACUAUUAAGUCAGGGGUGAAAUCCCGGGGCUCAACCCCGGAACUGCCUUUGAUACUGGUAGUCUUGAGGUCGAGAGAGGUGAGUGGAAUUCCGAGUGUAGAGGUGAAAUUCGUAGAUAUUCGGAGGAACACCAGUGGCGAAGGCGGCUCACUGGCUCGAUACUGACGCUGAGGUGCGAAAGCGUGGGGAGCAAACAGGAUUAGAAACCCCAGUAGUCCCAUGAU